CUUAACUUGAAAAUAUAAUUUUAAAAUUAAUAUGAAAAUUGAAAAGGCGCGGGAGGGAGACUGCAACAAGAUCGGUGGACCUCAGUUACUCGUCUUCACGAAGAUUUGAUCUGCCAGUUGAAAGGGAAUUUGGUUUUUGCGAGAUAUGGAACGAUCGCUUGAUGCAUCGAAGUCGGAUUUCAACAUGAGUUUGAAGGAGAGAGAUGCUUUUCUUUGUCAAAUUAUAUCAGGUUUUUUUUUGUAGGUGUUGACAUUGUUGCAUUUCACUCGAUCGAUAUUUUUGUUAUGUUGCCGAAAUGAUGAACAACGAGUUGCAAGAUUUCAAACAAUUUUUAGCUCUCUCUCUGCUAAAACCACCGAUCUAUCUGUAUGUGAUCCAAUAUCUUUUAAAUUCUUCAAUGUUUUCUUUUUGAACUUUGUAGUUGUAGCUUUCAAAUAGUUUCGGGAUGUUUCUUCAAGAAGUUCAUUAGGUUUUGACAUUGUUGCAUUUCCUCGAUCGAUAUUUUUGUUAUGUUGCCGAAAUGACUAACAACGAGUUGCAAGAUUUCAAACAAUUUUUAGCCCUCUCUCUGCUAAAACCACCGAUCUAUAUGUAUGUGAUCCAGUAUCUUUUAAAUUCUUCAAUGUUUUCUUUUUGAACUUUGUAGUUGUAGCUUUCAAAUAGUUUCAGGAUGUUUCUUCAGGAAGUUCAUUAUAGGUUGGAAAAUCUAACGAAAGAACAUGAAAUUCCAAGACCUAGAGUUGCGAGAUGCAGAGAUUACGAGAAACGCUAGCAUCCGAAAGGAGCUCUGAAAAUCUUCCUGGCAUAAUCGUGCAGAGAUUGAAAAUCUUCUUGCUAAUAUGGAAGAACUUCAAUCUUCGAAUAAUGAAAAGGAUUGCACAAAAAGCAGGCUUAGAAAGUAAGUUGGAAAAGAUUGAGGUUGAUUCUAGAAAAAUUAAACGAUGAAAUUGGUAGAAUCUUUCAUGAGUUGGAAGUCUCAAGAAAGCAUACUGGCGCAUCGGUGUUAAACCGAUGCACAUCUGGCUAGAAAACCUAUGGAUUAGGAGUGAAGGAAAAAGAAAAGGCAUCUUCUGCACAAGCACCUCGUGGCAAUGGAGAUUCUGGAAAGGAGGACGGGAGCUUAAAACAGAAGAAAGACGUCGAAAGUGAAUCAAAGACCCCUUUCAAAUCUCUCAAAUUAAGGAGCAGUAUGCAUGUGGAACAACGCAAAGCCAAAGCAUCACAGCCUAAUAAUAAUAGGGUCUCCAUAUUGAUGGAAACCAUUUAGAGUGGAAGUAAGGCUGAUAAGAUAUCAAAACCAACAACACCACCAGCAACGCCGCCGCACCCCAAGGUGAGGCAGCGGUGCCUUCUGCGACGUAUACCGGCUCGAGCUUUGUUCUCGGAGUGAUGAUUACAAGACGACCAUAUCUAACAAUCGAGUUUCCAACAAACACAAACACUAGAGAUAGCAAAAUGACCAAGAUUCCAAGAACAGCAAGCAGAGGCCUUGGCGGAGGAGCUAUGGAGGCCAAGGCCUGCUCUGCCCAUCCUUGUUUCCAUGAUGGGCCUCUCCUCUCUCUUAUCAACCAACCCAUUGUUCUUCUCUCUGUCGUUUGAGCUUGGGGAGUUCAGAAGAAUAGUGGUCGUAUAUAUAUAGAAAGAGAGAGAGAUGAAGACUGUUUGUUAAUUUGCUUUGGCAUAAAUUCUGUGGGGCCAAUUGGUUCUUUCUCCAAUUCACCUGUUUCUGAUUCGACUUCACCGAAUUGGCAUCGGUGCCAAUUCCUUCGUAGUUUUCAAUCAUUUAUCCUCUUAUUUUUUUCCAUC